ACAUGCUUACAACAUAGCAUUAAUGCAAUGGAUCCCAUUAGAACUCAACAGUUAAAUGCUCUUAGGCUAGAUUAGUAUUGGGAUGGGUGACCGCUUGGGAAGUCCUAAUGUUUUACAUGCC
rnacentral:rRNA from 1 species